CCUACGGGUGACAGCAGUGAGGAAUAUUGGUCAAUGGCCGGAAGGCUGAACCAGCCAAGCCGCGUGAAGGACGAAGGUGCCAAGCAUUGUAAACUUCUUUUGUCAAGGGACAAAAUCAGGCUCGAGAGCCUGACCGAGGGGACUUGAAGAAAAAGCAUCGGCUAACUCCGUGCAAGCAGCCGCGGUAAUCCGGAGGAUGCGAGCGUUAUCCGGAUUUAUUGGGGUUAAAGGGUGCGUAGGCGGGCUGUUAAGUCAGCGGUAAAAGCCCGGGGCUCAACUCCGACGAGCCGUUGAAACUGGCUGUCUUGAGAUGUCGAGAGGUAUGCGGAAUGCGCAGUGUAGCGGUGAAAUGCUUAGAUAUUGCGAAGAACUCCGAUUGCGAAGGCAGCAUACCAGCGGCGAUCUGACGCUGAGGCACGAAAGCGUGGGUAUCGAACAGGAUUAGAUACCCGAGUAGUC
rnacentral:rRNA from 1 species